UACGUAGGUCCCGAGCGUUGUCCGGAUUUAUUGGGCGUAAAGCGAGCGCAGGUGGUUUAUUAAGUCUGGUGUAAAAGGCAGUGGCUCAACCAUUGUAUGCAUUGGAAACUGGUAGACUUGAGUGUAGGAGAGGAGAGUGGAAUUCCAUGUGUAGCGGUGAAAUGCGUAGAUAUAUGGAGGAACACCGGUGGCGAAAGCGGCUCUCUGGCCUGUAACUGACACUGAGGCUCGAAAGCGUGGGGAGCAAAUAGG
rnacentral:rRNA from 1 species